AGGCCUCGCGCGAUUGGAGCGGCCGAUGUCGGAUUAGCUAGUUGGUAGGGUAAAGGCCUACCAAGGCGACGAUCCGUAGCGGGUCUGAGAGGAUGAUCCGCCACACUGGGACUGAGACACGGCCCAGACUCCUACGGGAGGCAGCAGUGGGGAAUUUUGGACAAUGGGCGAAAGCCUGAUCCAGCCAUGCCGCGUGAGUGAAGAAGGCCUUCGGGUUGUAAAGCUCUUUCAGACGGAAAGAAAUCGCAUCUUCUAAUACAGGGUGUGGAUGACGGUGUAGAAGAAGCACCGGCUAACUACGUGCCAGCAGCCGCGGUAAUACGUAGGGUGCGAGCGUUAAUCGGAAUUACUGGGCGUAAAGCGUGCGCAGGCGGUGAUGUAAGACAGAUGUGAAAUCCCCGGGCUCAACCUGGGAACUGCGUUUGUGACUGCAUCACUCGAGUACGGCAGAGGGAGGU
rnacentral:rRNA from 1 species